GGCGCAGCCUGAUGCAGCGAMGCCGCGUGAGGGAUGACGGCCUUCGGGUUGUAAACCUCUUUCAGCAGGGAAGAAGCGGAAGUGACGGUACCUGCAGAAGAAGCGCCGGCUAACUACGUGCCAGCAGCCGCGGUAAUACGUAGGGCGCAAGCGUUGUCCGGAAUUAUUGGGCGUAAAGAGCUCGUAGGCGGCUUGUCGCGUCUGCUGUGAAAGCCCGGGGCUUAACUCCGGGUGUGCAGUGGGUACGGGCAGGCUAGAGUGCAGUAGGGGUAACUGGAAUUCCUGGUGUAGCGGUGAAAUGCGCAGAUAUCAGGAGGAACACCGAUGGCGAAGGCAGGUUACUGGGCUGUUACUGACGCUGAGGAGCGAAAGCAUGGGGAGCGAACAGGAUUAGAUACCCUGGUAGUCCAUGCCGUAAACGUUGGGCACUAGGUGUGGGGGACAUUCCACGUUUUCCGCGCCGUAGCUAACGCAUUAAGUGCCCCGCCUGGGGAGUACGGCCGCAAGGCUAAAAACUCAAAGGAAUUGACGGGGGCCCGCACAAGCGGCGGAGCAUGCGGAUUAAUUCGAUGCAACGCGAAGAACCUUACCAAGGCUUGC
rnacentral:rRNA from 1 species